AUUGAACGCUGGCGGCAGGCCUAACACAUGCAAGUCGAGCGGAUGAAGGGAGCUUGCUCCUGGAUUCAGCGGCGGACGGGUGAGUAAUGCCUAGGAAUCUGCCUGGUAGUGGGGGAUAACGUCCGGAAACGGGCGCUAAUACCGCAUACGUCCUGAGGGAGAAAGUGGGGGAUCUUCGGACCUCACGCUAUCAGAUGAGCCUAGGUCGGAUUAGCUAGUUGGUGGGGUAAAGGCCUACCAAGGCGACGAUCCGUAACUGGUCUGAGAGGAUGAUCAGUCACACUGGAACUGAGACACGGUCCAGACUCCUACGGGAGGCAGCAGUGGGGAAUAUUGGACAAUGUGCGAAAGCCUGAUCCAGCCAUGCCGCGUGUGUGAAGAAGGUCUUCGGAUUGUAAAGCACUUUAAGUUGGGAGGAAGGGCAGUAAGUUAAUACCUUGCUGUUUUGACGUUACCAACAGAAUAAGCACCGGCUAACUUCGU
rnacentral:rRNA from 1 species